rnacentral:rRNA from 1 species
UACGUAGGGGGCAAGCGUUGUCCGGAAUCAUUGGGCGUAAAGAGCGCGUAGGCGGCCCUGUAAGUCCGCUGUGAAAGUCAAGGGCUCAACCCUUGAAUGCCGGUGGAUACUGCAGGGCUAGAGUCCGGAAGAGGAGAAUGGAAUUCCUGGUGUAGCGGUGAAAUGCGCAGAUAUCAGGAAGAACACCCGUGGCGAAGGCGGUUCUCUGGGACGGUACUGACGCUGAGACGCGAAAGCGUGGGGAGCGAACAGG